rnacentral:rRNA from 1 species
UACGUAGGGACCAAGCGUUGUUCGGAUUUACUGGGCGUAAAGGGCGCGUAGGCGGCGUGACAAGUCACUUGUGAAAUCUCUGAGCUUAACUCAGAACGGCCAAGUGAAACUGUUGUGCUAGAGUGCAGAAGGGGCAAUCGGAAUUCUUGGUGUAGCGGUGAAAUGCUUAGAUAUGGCACAGAACACCGAUAGUGAAGACAGCUCACGAGGGCGUUACUGACGCUGAGGCACGAAAGCGUGGGGAUCGAACAGG